rnacentral:rRNA from 1 species
AACGAACGCUGGCGGCAUGCCUAACACAUGCAAGUCGAACGAGACCUUCGGGUCUAGUGGCGCACGGGUGCGUAACGCGUGGGAACCUGCCCUUAGGUUCGGAAUAACUCCCCGAGAGGGGUGCUAAUACCGGAUAAUGUCUUCGGACCAAAGAUUUAUCGCCUUUGGAUGGGCCCGCGUUGGAUUAGCUAGUUGGUAGGGUAAAAGCCUACCAAGGCGACGAUCCAUAGCUGGUCUGAGAGGAUGAUCAGCCACACUGGGACUGAGACACGGCCCAGACUCCUACGGGAGGCAGCAGUGGGGAAUAUUGGACAAUGGGCGAAAGCCUGAUCCAGCAAUGCCGCGUGAGUGAUGAAGGCCUUAGGGUUGUAAAGCUCUUUUACCCGGGAUGAUAAUGACAGUACCGGGAGAAUAAGCUCCGGUUAACUCCGUG